ACAACCGUCAACUUCGUCGUCAAAGCCACUCUGGACAAGAUAAAAGACCAAGUUCCCUAGAAGAACUAAAUGCUGAUCACUUCUCCAGUUGAUGAACUGUGGAAAAUCGAACUUUAAGAAUGAGCAUAUUGAAUAACUAAUAUGCCCUUCCUCAUUUUGGUUGCUCGUAAUAGAAAAUGCGACAACAGCCAUGUCCAAUUUGGAUAAGGCAUAGAUAGUCUGGUCCACAACCACAGCCCUUCUUCGGAAAUAGCAAUCUGUAUUCUCCACUUGGACUGGACACCACUUAUUUUUAAUUACAUUAUAAGCCCACAGUGCGCCGUCAUUAUCCUUCCGGCCACAUAUACUAAACAGUAAGACUUCAUCACAAACGGCAUAACCCUGUAUCUCUGUAGUACCAUAUUCAUCAGAAUAUGGAUAAGAGCACAGCGGCUGCCAAGAGUCAGCAAUAGGGUCAUACUCCUCAAAGGACGGUUCUGGUACAUCACAUGAGCAAUAUGGAUCCGAAAGAGAGUAAAUUUUCCCAUAUGCAGACACAUGAGUUCCAAACCAUUUGGGAGCUGGCCUUUUAAUUGAUGACACCAGUUUCCCAGUUUUGAUGUCGAGAACACGUCCAUCGCAUUUGGGGAAACACACAUCCUCGUCAAAGAAAUCGGGACCACCAUCUGGCAAAAUAUACAACUUGGCACCCAAAAUACAAAAUUUCCACAUUCCCUAACCCAAAUCCUCUGCAGUGAAUCGUGAUACAGUUUGAACUACUGGUUGGG